CGUUCAAGAACUGGAAGACAGAGGAACCUAAUGGUCCAAAUAAGAAUUGUGCAGUAGCAGAUUUCAGGUUCUCUGGAGGAUGGGUGGACAGGAACUGUGACUGGAAGUUUCCAUUCAUUUGCUACAGUCCAUCUCAGUGCUUCUCUGAUGAAAGUGAAGAAAGUGAAGAGAUUGAGGAUGACUGUGACUGUAUCUGCUGUGACUGAGGGAAUGCUGAAGCAGAAGCUGAAGGACCAAAGGCUGAAUGAUGACGUCAGACUGAGCUGGAGGAAGCAGGCAGAUGGAAAAGUCUUCCACAAGGAGAAAAAGAAGACGAGUAAUUUUC